GCCCUGGCUAGCUCAGUCAGUAGAGUAUGGGACUUUUAAUCCCAGGGUCAUGGGUUCUAGCCCCACGUUGGGCU